GUCGGGCAUGGUGGCUCAUGCCUGUAAUCUCAGCUCUUUGGGAGGCCAAGAUGGGCAGAUCACCUGAGGUCAGGAGUUCAAGACCAGCCUGCCCAACAUGGUGAGACCUCAUCUGUACUAAAACNNNNNNNNNNGUUUUAGUACAGAUGAGGUCUCACCAUGUUGGGCAGGCUGGUCUUGAACUCCUGACCUCAGGUGAUCUGCCCACCUU
rnacentral:SRP_RNA from 1 species